rnacentral:rRNA from 1 species
CCUACGGGGAGCUGCAGUGGGGAAUAUUGGACAAUUGGCGAAAGCCUGAUCCAGCCAUGCCGCGUGUGUGAAGAAGGCCUUCGGGUUGUAAAGCACUUUCAGUGGGGAAGAAAGCCUUGGGGCUAAUACCCUCGAGGAAGGACAUCACCCACAGAAGAAGCACCGGCUAACUCCGUGCCAGCAGCCGCGGUAAUACGGAGGGUGCGAGCGUUAAUCGGAAUUACUGGGCGUAAAGCGCGCGUAGGCGGUCUGAUAAGCCGGUUGUGAAAGCCCCGGGCUCAACCUGGGAACGGCAUCCGGAACUGUCAGGCUAGAGUGCAGGAGAGGAAGGUAGAAUUCCCGGUGUAGCGGUGAAAUGCGUAGAGAUCGGGAGGAAUACCAGUGGCGAAGGCGGCCUUCUGGACUGACACUGACGCUGAGGUGCGAAAGCGUGGGUAGCAAACAGGAUUAGAUACCCCGGUAGUC